AUGGCCAUGUCCACGUCCGUGCCGCCGCCGCCGAGGUUGCCGCUGCUGCACUCGAUGCUGAUGUCGUGCAGCUUGCCCUUCUCGUGGAACCUGGCCCGGGUCAGGAACCGCUUCUUGCUGAACACGUGCUCCUUCUUGCACACCAUGGCCGCGUCCCCCAGCGAGAGCGACGGCCGCGACCCCGUCCGCCGGAACGCCUCCUUGUUCUGGUUGCCGAGCAGGAGCACCACCUCCUCGCCGGAGACGACCGCCACGUAG
rnacentral:rRNA from 1 species